CAGAGGUGUGUGUGUUGGGGGGAGGACUGUGGUGUACCUGGGCUCUCUCUCUCCAGCUGGGAAAGAGAAGCGUUAGCGGAAGGGGCGAGGUUAAAGAGGUGAAGGGGCUGGGGCACAACUCCAUUUUCCCUUUCGACGAAUUUCCACAGUCUCUUCUUUCUUUCGCUUUUAUUCAACAGAGUGAGGCAGUGAAAGAGAGCAAUAGAGAGAGAGAGAGAAAGAGAGAGAGAGAGAGAGUGAAAGAGAGAAUCAAGACCAUUUUUUUAAGAGUCGAUCUUGGCUUUCUUACAAACAGAUGUUGCCUGUCAUUUGGCCGUUAAGCAGGCACCCGGUUAGUAGAACACAGAGGUUUUACUGGCUGAAAAUAUUCGUUCUUUCUUAUUUAUCGUUUCAUUAUCAUGAUGAAAAUCCAACUCUUAUAAACAGGGAAAUCUAUCUUUGUUAUUUCGUUUUUUGUCUUUUAGUUCUCUCUCAGCCAGCUUUCCUUUCCUUCCUCUUCCUUCCUCUCUCUCUCUGCCUAUUUUUCUUUGUCUCACUCUUUCUCUCUUUUCUAUUGCCUUUUUGAUGGGUUCGUUAGUUGCAUGUUUGUGUUUUGUUUCCUUGUGGGUCACAGUGGACCUUCUGCCAAGUGCUGUAGGCGCCCUGAGUAGAGAGAGAAAACAUUUGGAAACAAUAAAAAGACAAUCGGUCUGGGUCUGUGCUGAUAUACAGUACGCCCUGCAUCAUUUCUACAUGUACCACCAGCAGACUGAAUUAGAGCACUGCAUCAUCUCCAAUCAAUCAUCAUCCUCCCAGGCAACAAGGGACAAGGGUUGCUGCCUCCUCAUUCCGAACCAGACGUGGACCCAGUCGGUACUAGAUGUGGUGACCCCAUCUGGUGAAAAAAACCUGUGGUUACCCCAUUGGCUAACUGCAAAAACUGUGCUCACAGCAAAACAGAAAUGUGCUCAUUCCUAGUCAGUAAAAGAUAGAAAGUCGCCUGUGGGGAAUACAACCUGUAGUUACCUAGGUUACCCCAUUGGCUCACAGAAAAACUUGACCUUUUUCAAACGCAAUUUUCUUGUUGUCUGCUUGUUUUAGUCAAUUACAUAACUACAUUUAAGAAAAGUACAACAUGUCUAAAGAUGACUUUUCAACAUUACCUGCUCCUGAGCGUUCUCACUACUUAGAAAAACAUAAUAUUGUAGGCCUUCCCUCAUGCCUCUUUUCAUAACGAUGCUAACAGACACUUGAGUGAGUGAGUGCUAGCUAUCUACUGACCGGAACAUUAAGCUAGCUAAGACCAACAACACAAACAAACAGACUAUACAGCUACAAGUAGUGAGUGGAGUUACAAACAGACAGUACUAAACAAGUUAAAUGUCUUACCUGUGAUGACAUUUUUUCCACACACAAAGCUACGUGUAGCCUGAAGUGUGUGUGUGUGCACGCAAGUGUUAAACUUCAAGAACAUUGAUAAGAGGGAGUAGGCCUACUUAAACAUUGGGAGCAUUAAUAGCUGUAUGUUACAGUGACUUUUGUGUUGUUUAUGGUGAAAAUGCUAUUUAAACAUUCUGAUGAAGAUCAUUUUGUGUUGUUUAUGGUGAAAAUGCUAUUUAAACAUUCUGAUGAAGAUCAUUUUGUGUUGUUUAUGGUGAAAAUGCUAUUUAAACAUUCUGAUGUGGAUCCCUUUGUGUUGUUUAUGGUGAAAAUGCUAUUUAAACAUUCUGAUGAAGAUCAUUUUGUGUUGUUUAUGGUGAAAAUGCUAUUUAAACAUUCUGAUGUGGAUCCUUUUGUGUUGUUUAUGGUGAAAAUGCUAUUUAAACAUUCUGAUGUGGAUCCUUUUGUGUUGUUUAUGGUGAAAAUGCUAUUUAAACAUUCUGAUGUGGAUCCUUUUGUGUUGUUUAUGGUGAAAAUGCUAUUUAAACAUUCUGAUGUGGAUCCCUUUGUGUUGUUUAUGGUGAAAAUGCUAUUUAAACAUUCUGAUGAAGAUCAUUUUGUGUUGUUUAUGGUGAAAAUGCUAUUUAAACAUUCUGAUGUGGAUCCCUUUGUGUUGUUUAUGGUGAAAAUGCUAUUUAAACAUUCUGAUGAAGAUCAUUUUGUGUUGUUUAUGGUGAAAAUGCUAUUUAAACAUUCUGAUGUGGAUCCCUUUGUGUUGUUUAUGGUGAAAAUGCUAUUUAAACAUUCUGAUGUGGAUCCCUUUGUGUUGUUUAUGGUGAAAAUGCUAUUUAAACAUUCUGAUGUGGAUCCUUUUGUGUUGUUUAUGGUGCCAUUAAAAUCCUCUGAUGCAGAUUAUUUUAUGUUUCUUUCCCUUACAAUCAAAACAUAGCAUGCCUAUAACUCAAUGCACUGCUUUUUAAAUGGAAAAUUGUUUAUUUAGGGACAAAUUUGGGCAAAUUCUAAAUUGCAAUUAAGGGAUGCCAUUAAGUUAAUUCAUUAUUUUAAUCGUUUGACAGCACUAGUUUAUACUGUACCCUAGUGAGUUAGGAGAGGGGUUGACUAAUUUAAAAAAAUGACCAGUGAUUGUCGCUUUGACAGUGCAUUAUAAAACCUUUCAUUUAAACUUUUAGAUAUAAAGAUUUAUAGGCUGGAAAAAAACAAUGCCAAAAUAUCAAGUCAACCUUGAUAUUUUUGAAAAUGAUGUUUUAGUAUAAUUCUCAGAAAGGAUAAGCCUACCGAUUUAGAUGAGAUGUUGCUAUAUUGUACACUAAGUGUUCAAAACAUUAGGAACACCUGCUCUUUCCAUGACAUAGACUGACCAGGUGAAUCCAGGUGAAAUCUGUGAUCCCUUAUUGAUGUCACAUGUUAAAUCCACUUCAAUCAGUGUAGAUGAAGGGGAGAAGACAGGUUUAAGAAGGAUUAUUAAGCCUUGAGACAAUUGAGACAUGGAUUGUGUAUGUGUGCCAUCCAGAGGGUGAAUGGGCAAGACAAAAUAUUUAAGUGCCCUUGAACGGGGUAUGGUAGUAGCUGCUAGGCACACUGGUUUGAGUCAAGAACUGCAACGCUGCUGGGGAUUUCACACUCAACAGUUUCCCGUGUGUAUCAAGACGGUCCACCAUCCAAAGGACAUCCAGCCAACCAAUGAAUUGAGGCUGUUCUGCGGGUGCAACUCAAUAUUAGGAAGGUGUUCCUAAUGUUUUGUACACUCAUUGUAUACCAAACCUAGCUUGGUUUCUCAGGUUCUAUGUGGGGGAGUUUUUUAAUACAUAUCUUACAGGAAACCACCUAUUUAUAAUGAUAGAAUUGUAUGUCUUUCUCUUUUAAGUGUAUACUUGUUCAGAAUAUCUCAGAUUGAUGAUGUACUGCAUGUAAACAAAAACAUUUACAAUUGCAUUUGCAACAUUGCUGUUUUCCAACAAUAAAGAUUCCGAAACCUGUC